CCUACGGGAGGCAGCAGUGAGGAAUAUUGGUCAAUGGACGAGAGUCUGAACCAGCCAAGUAGCGUGAAGGAUGACUGCCCUAUGGGUUGUAAACUUCUUUUAUAUGGGAAUAAAAUGUUCCACGUGUGGGAUUUUGUAUGUACCAUAUGAAUAAGGAUCGGCUAACUCCGUGCCAGCAGCCGCGGUAAUACGGAGGAUCCGAGCGUUAUCCGGAUUUAUUGGGUUUAAAGGGAGCGUAGGUGGAUUGUUAAGUCAGUUGUGAAAGUUUGCGGCUCAACCGUAAAAUUGCAGUUGAAACUGGCAGUCUUGAGUACAGUAGAGGUGGGCGGAAUUCGUGGUGUAGCGGUGAAAUGCUUAGAUAUCACGAAGAACUCCGAUUGCGAAGGCAGUUCACUGGACUGUAACUGACAUUGAUGCUCGAAAGUGUGGGUAUCAAACAGGAUUAGAUACCCCUGUAGUC
rnacentral:rRNA from 1 species